rnacentral:antisense_RNA from 1 species
AUUUAAGAAACAAUUAAGCACACAGAAGAACAUUAAAUAUUUUUACAAUAGCUUAUUGUUUCCAAGAAGGGCCAUAUAAACUUACUGCCUUAAACAUAAUAUUGAACCUUCUACUAAGCGCCCCUCAUAGAUUGUGGGAAAUUAACAUUAAAUAGCUAAACAUAGAAAAUUCGGAUCUAUAAAUAACACAAAAUACAACUUAACUCUAAUAUGAGCUUAAAUAUGACACACUAUGAUGCAAUAUGAAU